UGUGUGUGUGUGUGUGUGUGUGUGUGUGUUAUUUUUGACAAAUUUACGUUCUUUUAUGUUUCAAAGUCACUGUAUCUGAGAACCUGAGGCGGUUGCAUCGCGAGACGAUUAAAAGUGAAGCUUCUUGACCAAGUGCCCGCGGGUCGUAGUUGGCAUAGGCAGACGCUUCGUCUCUCCUCGUCCGAUCCACGGAAGGUGGUAGGAAGCGGGACGCACACUAACGCUGCCAUUGGCCUCGUACAGUAUGAUGGUCAAGUUCUGGUUAUCGUUUCGAGAAUUUCGUGGCGUAUAGUGAGUCACGAACAUCACAGAUUCCGGAGAGGGUCAAGAGGAACGUCAUGACCAAAGUCCACAAAGACACAAAGAGCAAGAUUAGGAUUCGAGUGGAGCAUCCGAGCUUUACCGUCUCCUUUGGGAUAAAGACGGUUUACGAGAGUUUUCAUACAAGCUGACAUAUGUAUAUGAAGAUGCAGAGGCGAUUUAUCGUGUUAUUAUACAUAUAUUCUGCUGCAAUGUUCCGUCCUGUCCGGAAUUACAUUAUUUUGUAUUUAAUAUUUAGAAAGCUUAAACAUAUCAAAUAAUGUUUAAGCAUAUCAAAAGAGGUUCACGGUCCACAUACUUAAAUGUAAUAAAAAUAGUAAAUAAGACGAAAUA